rnacentral:rRNA from 1 species
CCUACGGGGGGCAGCAGUGGGGAAUAUUGCACAAUGGGGGAAACCCUGAUGCAGCGACGCCGCGUGAAGGAAGAAGUAUUUCGGUAUGUAAACUUCUAUCAGCAGGGAAGAAAAUGACGGUACCUGACUAAGAAGCCCCGGCUAACUACGUGCCAGCAGCCGCGGUAAUACGUAGGGGGCAAGCGUUAUCCGGAUUUACUGGGUGUAAAGGGAGCGUAGGCGGUUUAGCAAGUCAGGAGUGAAAGCCCGGGGCUCAACUCCGGGACUGCUUUUGAAACUGUUGAGCUAGAGUGCAGGAGAGGUAAGUGGAAUUCCUAGUGUAGCGGUGAAAUGCGUAGAUAUUAGGAGGAACACCAGUGGCGAAGGCGGCUUACUGGACUGUAAAUGACGCUGAGGCUCGAAAGCGUGGGGAGCAAACAGGAUUAGAUACCCGGGUAGUC